AUUGAACGCUGGCGGCAGGCUUAACACAUGCAAGUCGAGCGGAGAUGAGGUGCUUGCACCUUAUCUUAGCGGCGGACGGGUGAGUAAUGCUUAGGAAUCUGCCUAUUAGUGGGGGACAACAUUCCGAAAGGAAUGCUAAUACCGCAUACGCCCUACGGGGGAAAGCAGGGGAUCUUCGGACCUUGCGCUAAUAGGUGAGCCUAAGUCGGAUUAGCUAGUUGGUGGGGUAAAGGCCUACCAAGGCGACGAUCUGUAGCGGGUCUGAGAGGAUGAUCCGCCACACUGGGACUGAGACACGGCCCAGACUCCUACGGGAGGCAGCAGUGGGGAAUAUUGGACAAUGGGCGGAAGCCUGAUCCAGCCAUGCCGCGUGUGUGAAGAAGGCCUUUUGGUUGUAAAGCACUUUAAGCGAGGAGGAGGCUACCUGGAUUAAUACUCUAGGAUAGUGGACGUUACUCGCAGAAUAAGCACCGGCUAACUCUGUGCCAGCAGCCGCCGUAAGAC
rnacentral:rRNA from 1 species